rnacentral:rRNA from 1 species
AUCCCUUGACAUCCUGCGAACUUUCUAGAGAUAGAUUGGUGCCUUCGGGAACGCAGUGACAGGUGCUGCAUGGCUGUCGUCAGCUCGUGUCGUGAGAUGUUGGGUUAAGUCCCGCAACGAGCGCAACCCUUAUCUUUAGUUGCUACCAUUUAGUUGAGAACUCUAAAGAGACUGCCGGUGAUAAACCGGAGGAAGGCGGGGACGACGUCAAGUCAUCAUGGCCCUUAUGGGAUGGGCUACACACGUGCUACAAUGGAGGGUACAAAGAGCAGCCAACUGGCGACAGUGCGCGAAUCUCAUAAAACCCUUCGUAGUCCGGAUCGGAGUCUGCAACUCGACUCCGUGAAGUCGGAAUCGCUAGUAAUCGUGAAUCAGAAUGUCACGGUGAAUACGUUCCCGGGCCU